AUUGAACGCUGGCGGCAGGCCUAACACAUGCAAGUCGAGCGGAUGAAGGGAGCUUGCUCCUGGAUUCAGCGGCGGACGGGUGAGUAAUGCCUAGGAAUCUGCCUGGUAGUGGGGGAUAACGUCCGGAAACGGGCGCUAAUACCGCAUACGUCCUGAGGGAGAAAGAGGGGGAUCUUCGGACCUCACGCUAUCAGAUGAGCCUAGGUCGGAUUAGCUAGUUGGUGGGGUAAAGGCCUACCAAGGCGACGAUCCGUAACUGGUCUGAGAGGAUGAUCAGUCACACUGGAACUGGGACACGGUCAAGACUCCUACGGGAGGCAGCGGUGGGGAAUAUUGGACAAUGGGCGAAAGCCUGAUCCAGCCAUGCCGCGUGUUUGAAGAAGGUCUUCGGAUUGUAAAGCACUUUAAGUUGGGAGGAAGGGCAGUAAGUUAAUACCUUGCUGUUUUGACGUUACCAACAGAAUAAGCACCGGCUAACUUCGUG
rnacentral:rRNA from 1 species